rnacentral:rRNA from 1 species
GGACGGUUGUCCAGGUUCAAGUGCGUAGGCUUAAGAGUUAGGUAAAUCCGGCUCUUUUUAAGGCGAGACACGACGUCGAGCACCUACGGGUGUGAAGUCAUUGAUGCCAUGCUUCCAGGA